rnacentral:rRNA from 1 species
CUGCAGCCCGAGUGGUGAUCGAUUUUAUUGAGCCUAAAGCGUCCGUAGCCGGACUAGUAAACCCUUGGGUAAAUUGGGCAGCUUAACUGUCCAAAUUCCGAGGGGACUGCUAGUCUUGGGACCGGGAGAGGUCAGAGGUACUCAAGGGGUAGGGGCUAAAUCCUGUAAUCCUUUGGGGACCACCAGUGGCGAAGGCGUCUGACUAGAGCGGAUCCGACGGUAAGGGACGAAACCCUGGGGCGCGAACCGGAUUAGAUACCCGUGUAGUCC